UACAGAGGGUGCAAGCGUUAAUCGGAAUUACUGGGCGUAAAGCGCACGUAGGUGGCUUGAUAAGUUGGAUGUGAAAUCCCCGGGCUUAACCUGGGAAUUGCAUUCAAGACUGUCUUGCUAGAGUGUGGAAGAGGGAAGCGGAAUUCCAGGUGUAGCGGUGAAAUGCGUAGAUAUCGGAAGGAACACCAGUGGCGAAAGCGACUUCCUGGUCCAAUACUGACGUUCAUGUGCGAAAGCGUGGGGAGCAAACAGG
rnacentral:rRNA from 1 species